GUGCUCACCUAGCUCAGUGGUAGAGUGCUCACCUAGCAUGGGUGAGGCACUGGGUUCAAUCCUCAGCACCACA
rnacentral:tRNA from 1 species